ACAAUGGCGUUGAUGGGGAAUAGUAGUUUGACGAACUUUUCAGAGAGCCGACGGGUGGUGUGAGUCGGUACGUUUCGGAGAAUGAACUCGCCUCGGAGCUGCAGCGGGGAAUUUUCAGUACCCGGUGCCGUCUCGUCCGCGUUACAGGACUUUUAAUGAGAGUGCUCCUCCGUUUUUUUACCGGCGGCAUCGGGCACUGAAUUAGGGUGGUACCACGGGAAUGUUAAUCCUAACCUCUCGUCCCUAGC
rnacentral:ncRNA from 1 species